rnacentral:rRNA from 1 species
GUGCACCAGGCGAGAAUCCUUCGCAAUGCAGGAACUGCGACGAGGGAACUCCAAGUGCCUACGCUCAGCGUAGGCUGUUCUCAAGCCUAGAAGCUUGAGGAGUAAGGGCUGGGUAAGACGGGUGCCAUCGUGUGGUAGCAGUCAAUAGAUUCGAUUUGUUACUGCAAGGCAUAAGCCGCCGCGGUAAUACCCGCAGCCCAAGUGGUGGCCG